AAAAAAAAAAAAAAGAAAAUAAUAGAAAAGAAAAUAAAUGAUAAGAAUAUAAAAUGGAAGAAAAUGAGAGAAAAGAAAAAAAUAAUUAGAAAUAGGGAAAAAGAAAGAGAGAAAAUAGAAGAAAAUGAUGAGUGAAGAAAAUGAGUUAAGAGAGCAGAAAAAAAUUGAAAUGAUAGAGAAAAAAAAAUUAUUAAUGAAUAAAAUGAAAAAAAUAAAAUAUAGUAUUUUUUUAGAUAUAUAUACAUGAUUAACUAAGGAAUUUAGCAAUGGUUUACAAUGUUAAGUUAAAAAAAAUAAAGUUUUUUUUUUAAAUUUAUUGAUAAUUGAAAAGAAAAAAGAGGCUUCUAAAAAAAAUGGCGAG
rnacentral:misc_RNA from 1 species